rnacentral:rRNA from 1 species
UACAGAGGGUGCGAGCGUUGUUCGGAAUUAUUGGGCGUAAAGCGCGUGUAGGCGGCUAGGCAAGUCGGCUGUGAAAGCCCUCGGCUUAACCGAGGAAGUGCGUUCGAAACUGCCUGGCUUGAGUACCGGAGAGAGUGGCGGAAUUCCCGGUGUAGAGGUGAAAUGCGUAGAUAUCGAGAGGAACACCUGAGGUGAAGACGGGUUGCUGGGCCGACACUGACGCUUACAGCGCGAAAGCCAGGGGAGCAAACGGG